rnacentral:rRNA from 1 species
AGAGUUUGAUCAUGGCUCAGAUUGAACGCUGGCGGUAUGCCUAACACAUGCAAGUCGAACGAGGUAGCAAUACCUAGUGGCGGACGGGUGAGGAAUACGUAGGGAUCUGCCCUUAAGUGGGGGAUAACCCGGGGAAACCCGGAUUAAUACCGCAUGAUCUCGCAAGAGCAAAGAGGGGGACCGCAAGGCCUCUCGCUUUUGGAGGAACCUACGUCGGAUUAGCUAGUUGGUGAGGUAAUGGCUCACCAAGGCGACGAUCCGUAACUGGUCUGAGAGGAUGAUCAGUCACACCGGAACUGAGACACGGUCCGGACUCCUACGGGAGGCAGCAGUGGGGAAUAUUGGACAAUGGGCGAAAGCCUGAUCCAGCAAUACCGCGUGUGUGAAGAAGGCCUUCGGGUUGUAAAGCACUUUAAGUUGGGAAGAAAAAGCUUCACCUAAUACGUGAAGCCUUGACGGUACCGACAGAAUAAGCACCGGCUAACUCUGUGCCAGCAGCCGCGGUAAUACAGAGGGUGCUAGCGUUAAUCGGAUUUACUGGGCGUAAAGCGUGCGUAGGUGGUUUGAUAAGUCGAUUGUGAAAGCCCCGGGCUUAACCUGGGGAAUUGCGGUCGAUACUGUCAGACUCGAAAACGGUAGAGGGAGGUGGAACUCCAGGUGUAGCGGUGAAAUGCGUAGAUAUCUGGAAGAACACCGAUGGCGAGGGCAGCUUCCUGGGCCUGUUUUGACACUGAGGCACGAAAGCGUGGGUAGCAAACAGGAUUAGAUACCCUGGUAGUCC